rnacentral:rRNA from 1 species
GUAGGGUGCGAGCGUUAUCCGGAAUCAUUGGGGCGUAAAGAGCUCGUAGGCGGUUCAGCAAGUCGGGCUGUGAAAGUCCCGAGGGCUCAACCUCGGGAACUGCAGUCGAUACUGCUGUGACUCGAGUCCGGUAGAGGAGAAUGGAAUUCAGGGUGUAGCGGUGAAAUGCGCAGAUAUCCUGAGGAACACCAGUAGCGAAGGCGGUUCUCUGGGCCGGCACUGACGCUGAGGAGCGAAAGCGUGGGUAGCAAACAGGAUUAGAUACCCUGGUAGUCCACGCCGUAAACGUUGGACACUAGGUGUGGCGUUCCGACCAACGGGUGCCGUGCCGAAGCUAACGCAUUAAGUGUCCCGCCUGGGGAGUACGGCCGCAAGGCUA